UUCCUACAACAUAGAGUUAAUGCACUGGAUCCCAUUAGAACUUCGCAGUUAAGCGCACUCGGGCUACAAUAGUAUUGGGAUGGGAAGUCCUAGUCUUUUAGAUGC
rnacentral:rRNA from 1 species